rnacentral:rRNA from 1 species
ACGUACACUCCUGCGGGAGGCAGCAGUGGGGAAUAUUGGACAAUGGGCGCAAGCCUGAUCCAGCCAUGCCGCGUGAGUGAUGAAGGCCCUAGGGUUGUAAAGCUCUUUCACCGGUGAAGAUAAUGACGGUAACCGGAGAAGAAGCCCCGGCUAACUUCGUGCCAGCAGCCGCGGUAAUACGAAGGGGGCUAGCGUUGUUCGGAUUUACUGGGCGUAAAGCGCACGUAGGCGGACUAUUAAGUCAGGGGUGAAAUCCCGGGGCUCAACCCCGGAACUGCCUUUGAUACUGGUAGUCUUGAGUUCGGGAGAGGUGAGUGGAAUUCCGAGUGUAGAGGUGAAAUUCGUAGAUAUUCGGAGGAACACCAGUGGCGAAGGCGGCUCACUGGCUCGAUACUGACGCUGAGGUGCGAAAGCGUGGGGAGCAAACAGGAUUAGAAACCCCGGUAGUCCC